ACCAUCAUUAGAACCGAGUACUUCAACGAUCUUUUGAGAUUGCAUGUAGAUAAAAAAAAUGCAGAGAUAGAAAUGGAUAAGAACACCAUCAAAAUAAAAAGUUGUCCAAAUUUGGCCUCAACGGGGGUAAGGACGUAGCAGAGACAACACGCAAAAUAAUCUAACUCAUAAUAAGCCAUGAAUCAGGAAUUUCCCUGAAUUGGUCGGGUAGGAAUUAAUGAUAAAAAUGGAUUAGAAGCAAUGGCGAAUAUUGUUGAGCUUAAUCAUGGAUCUGUAAGGAUAAAUCCUAUUACAAGAAGUGCCACUGAUGUGGAAAUGAAUCAUGUAAUGAAUUGGCUUCGCAAUGCCGGUGACAGAGCAGGGGGCAGAUUAAAAAGUGCGGAGGAAAAAGAAGCAG